rnacentral:lncRNA from 1 species
CCUGAACCAAUGGGUGGGCUCUGUGAGUGUGUGAGUGCGGCGGCGCGGCGGUACGAACGGGGGAGGGACACAUUCCUCAGCUCGGCUCGGUCUGCGCGCUGCUACCGGGAGGGUUCACAGGAUGGCCCGCAGGAGCAACAUCACUCAAACACGCUUAUGAGGAAACAUCAUGACACCCUGUGACGCACUGCUGAACUUUUGGGGACUGGAGAGCAUGAAUCAGAAGCGCUACUGGUCCUUGAAAAAGAUACGCCUCGAGAAAGAACAUCAAGUACUGGCCCAACAGAACCGUGAAGGGGACUGCCACUGAUUGCCUUUAUUGUUUUGACAUUCUAUAUUGCGGCGGGUGUUGUGUAUGCGUCGCGAUGUGCAUUGUGUCUUGGGCCACCAGGUUGCAGGGGCUCACCCCCUACCUGCUCAGUCAUUGGUUCAUGCUGUGAAGGGGUGGAGUGUAGUGGAAUUCCAGGGUCACAGCCUGAACCAAUGGGUGGGCUCUGUGAGUGUGUGAGUGCGGCGGCGCGGCGGUACGAACGGGGGAGGGACACGUUCCUCAGCUCGGCUCGGUCUGCGCGCUGCUACCGGGAGGGGUGAGUCGAUUCUUUUUGAUAUCUUUCCCUCGUGUGCCUAUUUCUUAAAUAAAGGCUUUGUCAUCACCUUCAUUUGCCCUACAGUCCUUAAUGAGAUAUUCCAGUUUUUUGAAUGCCUGAACAAUUAGCAACACAGGAAGCAAACUGGAUAUGCACAGCUACCUGUGGGAAGAAAAGUAGCUGAUGACUGGUGAGAGUUUCUGCAAGCAAAACCUACUGUUUUCAGUGUCUUGUUACAUUGCACAUAUGACUCUAUGAUCUCUGAAGUCUUGUCCUUCAAUUUACAUAUCCAUAAAUUUAGAUGAUUAUACACCAGAAAAGGCCAUGAGCCAUGAGAAUUGAGUCUUCGUGAAGUGUUGAUUGUCAGAUUAAUAGAAUUUUAUAAAACCAAAACGUAUCAUUGAAAAUCCUAUUCUUGAAGGCUGUAAUUUCAGUAUAUAAUCACGUGAUUGCUACCAUCUAUAUCCACCACUGGAGCUAGAAUGUUUUGAACAUUCCACGAACACAAAAUACUUUCUAUUAUGUG